AUUGAACGCUGGCGGCAUGCCUUACACAUGCAAGUCGAACGGUAACAGGUUAAGCUGCCGAGUGGCGAACGGGUGAGUAAUGUAUCGGAACGUGCCCAGUCGUGGGGGAUAACUGCUCGAAAGAGCAGCUAAUACCGCAUACGACCUGAGGGUGAAAGCGGGGGAUCGCAAGACCUCGCGCGAUUGGAGCGGCCGAUAUCGGAUUAGGUAGUUGGUGAGGUAAAGGCUCACCACGCCGACGAUCUGUAGCUGGUCUGAGAGGAAGAUCAGCCACACUGGGACUGAGACGAGGGACAGACUCCGACGGGAGGGAGCAGUGGGGAAUGGAGGACGGUGGGGGCGAUCCGGAUCGAGCCAUGCAGCGUGAGGAAAGAAGGGCUGCGGGUUGUAAAGCGGAGGUGGUAGGGAAGAAAAACUCUGGGAUAAAAGCCAGGGGGAAUGACGGUACCGGAAGAAUAAGAAGCGGCUAACUACGUG
rnacentral:rRNA from 1 species